rnacentral:rRNA from 1 species
UGAGGCGUGGCUUCCGGAGCUAACGCGUUAAGUCGACCGCCUGGGGAGUACGGCCGCAAGGUUAAAACUCAAAUGAAUUGACGGGGGCCCGCACAAGCGGUGGAGCAUGUGGUUUAAUUCGAUGCAACGCGAAGAACCUUACCUGGCCUUGACAUCCAGAGAACUUAGCAGAGAUGCUUUGGUGCCUUCGGGAACUCUGAGACAGGUGCUGCAUGGCUGUCGUCAGCUCGUGUUGUGAAAUGUUGGGUUAAGUCCCGCAACGAGCGCAACCCUUAUCCUUUGUUGCCAGCGGUUCGGCCGGGAACUCAAAGGAGACUGCCGGUGAUAAACCGGAGGAAGGUGGGGAUGACGUCAAGUCAUCAUGGCCCUUACGGCCAGGGCUACACACGUGCUACAAUGGCGCAUACAAAGAGAAGCGACCUCGCGAGAGCAAGCGGACCUCAUAAAGUGCGUCGUAGUCCGGAUUGGAGUCUGCAACUCGACUCCAUGAAGUCGGAAUCGCUAGUAAUCGUAGAUCAGAAUGCUACGGUGAAUACGUUCCCGGGCCUUGUACACACCGCCCGUCACACCAUGGGAGUGGGUUGCAAAAGAAGUAG